rnacentral:rRNA from 1 species
AGAUCGGCUUACUGGUCGUGCUUUUGUACGUACUGGUAUAAUCGGUUUCUCCUUUCUGACGAACUUUAAUGCCAUUAAUUUGGUGUUGCGGGGAAUUUGGACUGUUACUUUGAAAAAAUUAGAGUGUUUAAAGCAAGCUAACGCUUGAAUACAUUAGCAUGGAAUAAUGAAAUAGGACGUUCGAUCCUAUUUUGUUGGUUUCUAGGAUUGACGUA